GUUAAAGCGUACAGCUGUGAUCAGUGUGGCAGAGCUUUUACUCAAAGUGGUAGCUUACAGAAGCAUCUAGUUACCCACUCUGGAAUUAAUGCAUACAGCUGUGACGAGUGUGGGAAGGAGUUUACUGAGAAGGCUUCACUAAAACAUCAUCAGGUCAUCCACACUGGAGAGAGACCGUUCAGCUGUGACUUGUGUGGAAAGUUUUUUUCCUGGAAGGGUUCCCUAAAAAAACACCAACUCAUCCACAGUGGAGUUAAAGCGUACAGCUGUGAUCAGUGUGGCAGAGCUUUUACUCAAAGUGGUAGCUUACAGAAGCAUCUAGUUACCCACUCUGGAAUUAAUGCAUACAGCUGUGACGAGUGUGGGAAGGAGUUUACUGAGAAGGCUUCACUAAAACAUCAUCAGGUCAUCCACACUGGAGAGAGACCAUUCAGCUGUGACUUGUGUGGAAAGUUUUUUUCCUGGAAGGGUUCCCUAAAAAAACACCAACUCAUCCACAGUGAAGUUAAACCGUACAGCUGUGAUCAGUGUGGCAGAGCUUUUACUCAAAGUGGUAACUUACAGAGGCAUCUAGUUACCCACUCUGGAAUUAAGGCAUACAGCUGUGACGAGUGUGGAAAAACUUUCAGCCAGAGAGGAAACCGAAAUAUACACCGACGCAUUCACAGCAGACAUGAUGUGUACUGCUGUGAUCAGUGUGGCAAAUACUUUGCUACAGACACACAGUUACAACGACACAUGUUUACCCACACUGAGGGACGACCUUAUAAAUGUGACCUGUGUGAGAAGACUUUUAAAUUUCCACAUUCCCUGAGACGACACCAACAGAUCCACACCAGAAAGAGACUCUACAAGUGCUACUGUGAGAAGCAGAGCGACACAGAUGGAUCCAGUUCUCAACCCUGUCGUCACUGUGGUGGUGGGAAAGACUUUUGUUGUGACAUCUGUGGAAAAACUUUCAGUCAGCAAGCCGGCCUAAAAAUACAUCAACGUAGACACACUGGAGACAAACUGAAAUACUGCAAAGAAUGUGGAAGAAGCUUCACCACAUCACGUGACUUAAAACAACAUGAACUGAUUCACAGUGGGGUUAAAAAGCACCUCUGUGAUCAGUGUGGGUCAUCCUUCACCACUGCAGGUCAGCUUAAAACACACAAACGAGUCCACACAGGAGAGAAACCGUACAAGUGCAGACACUGUGACAAAAGCUUCUCACGCUCAAAUGGUCGUAACGAUCAUGAACGUGCACACGUGGAAGGAAACUACAGCUGUGACCAGUGUGACAAGAGCUUCAGGAAUCUCAGUUCAUACUCUGCACACAAACGAUCCCACGUUACUAAUAAACUGUUUCACUGUUACCAAUGUGCCCAAACAUUCACCUCAUUGUCUGCUCUGUGCAAACAUCAGCGUGAUCACUCAGGGCUGAAAUCACUCCCAUCACAGUGAAUCUGCAGAGACAGAAAGAUCCUCUGGCUUCAGUGUCAGACUCAAAAAGCUUGAGUUCAUUGUUCUCCAGCAAAACGUUUUGGAAACUCAUGUUUAACCUUUAAAUCUCUGACAUGUUUUAGCACACAAGGCUUCAUCGGGGAGUUCACUCAUGAUUGGAGAAUAAAGGUUUUUAGUUCUUUCAAAGAGAGUCUUGGAGCUGUUUGAUGUUUUUUCUGAAACCACCUGAAAGAAAAACUAUUUUUCUUGCUUCAUGUAGUGUGGAAGUUUUUAAUGUUUCUUUCAUCUGUGAUGUUCUUGAAUGUGUUCACAUGAAACUGGUACAAAUAAACUGUCCUUUUAGCUUUA